rnacentral:lncRNA from 1 species
AAAAGAAUCGAUCGGUCUGCAUUUUUAGAAAACCGAAAUUUUCUAUGACCUGGAAAACCGAACCGAAAGCUUCCGUUAGACCGAAUGCCCAGGGACCAUGACAGGAAUUUUCAUUCGACUUUCUUUUUGUCUAAAGUAAAAGACGUGCCCCUCACACUUUCCUGUCAAUAUUUUUUUUAAUCCUUUAGCGAAAUCUUGAAAAAGCUUUGUAGUGCACCUAGGUGACCCGACCCAAAGCUAGUUUGAAUGAAACUACGGUCACCGUAGUAGAUACAAUGUGAUGAGUGAGGACACAAUUUGGUUAUCUCUCUCUCUCUCUCACACACACACACACACNNACACACACACACACACAAACAUGACACACACACACACACACAAAAACAUGACACGUAGCUAUCAUAAAAUUCCACGCUGAACGAACCUUUCGACUUGUUGGAGAUGAAACUCAGGGCGGUACAAAAGAUCUUGCCCGAGAAUUCUGCAGGCCCUUUUG